GGGAAAUAGUGAAGAUUAAUAUCGACGCUGCGGUGGGGAGCGACAAACUCGCAGGUUUUGGAAUGGUGGCCAGGAACUACAAUUGGGAGGUUAUGGCGUCCGCUUCUAUGUAUCCAACCAUGGUGUUAUCGCCAACCAUUGGAGAGGCUCUCUCGUUGAGGUGGGCAAUGGAGUUAGCUACUCAGUUGGGAUUCAGGCGAGUUCUUUUUGAGACAGAUUGUCUUCCUUUGUUCCAGACUUGGAAGAAGGCGACCGAGGGCUCUUAUUUAUUUACUGUUAUUCA
rnacentral:lncRNA from 1 species